rnacentral:rRNA from 1 species
CCAGACUCCUACGGGAGGCAGCAGUGGGGGAUAUUGCACAAUGGGGGAAACCCUGAUGCAGCAACGCCGCGUGAGUGAAGAAGUAUUUCGGUAUGUAAAGCUCUAUCAGCAGGGAAGAGAAUGACGGUACCUGACUAAGAAGCCCCGGCUAACUACGUGCCAGCAGCCGCGGUAAUACGUAGGGGGCGAGCGUUAUCCGGAUUUACUGGGUGUAAAGGGAGCGUAGACGGCUGGUCAAGUCUGAAGUGAAAGCCCGGGGCUUAACCCCGGAACGGCUUUGGAAACUGAGCAGCUAGAGUGCUGGAGAGGUAAGCGGAAUUCCUAGUGUAGCGGUGAAAUGCGUAGAUAUUAGGAGGAACACCAGUGGCGAAGGCGGCUUACUGGACAGUAACUGACGUUGAGGCUCGAAAGCGUGGGGAGCAAACAGGAUUAGAUACCCGUGUAC